GACGGAGGAUGCAAGCGUUAUCCGGAAUGAUUGGGCGUAAAGCGUCCGCAGGUGGCAGUUCAAGUCUGCUGUCAAAGACCGGGGCUUAACUUCGGAAAGGCAGUGGAAACUGAACAGCUAGAGUAUGGUAGGGGCAGAGGGAAUUCCAGGUGUAGCGGUGAAAUGCGUAGAUAUCUGGAGGAACACCGGUGGCGAAGGCGGCAUCCUGGACCGGUAUUGACGCUGAGGAGCGAAAGCCAGGGGAGCAAACGGG
rnacentral:rRNA from 1 species